rnacentral:lncRNA from 10 species
GGAAUGUCUGGGCUACAGCAUUAAAGCACAUUCUGUUUCUAGGGGAGCAUGGCAACAGAGCCCCAGCUGUCAGGCCAUUCUCCCUAUCUCAGCAUGUUCUAGUGAUCCCAGCUGUUCUAGUGAUUAUUGAGAACUACAAACAAGAAGGGCGCUGGGGGAAGGUCAGUUCGAUGCUUUCUGGAGAACUAUCCUUCCAAGGUGGAGGAUCCCAUCUUGGAUACCACAUUACCUUAAACACUGCCUCAGCCAGGUGAUCAAGGUCAACGUCUACUGUGAUAAGUCAUGGUUUUGGUGUGUACCCUUGAUGUGAUGUGAUAAAAAUGGCACUUUACCUCUGUGGUCUUCCUCUGAAAAAUCCCGUAACAGCAGCCUAAUCAUGAGAAGCAUAUCAACAAAACUCAGACUCAGGGACAUUCUACAAAAUACCAGGCUGUCCCUCCCUGAAAUUGUCAAGUUCACCAAAAACAAGGUGAAUCUAAGAAACCUGUUACAGCCAAGAGGAGCCUAAGAAGACAUGAGGACUAAAUAUAACAUGGAAUUCGGGAUAGGAUUGUGCUACAGAAAAUGUAUGUGCUAAUGUGAGAUGUUAACAGUUGGAGAAACUCAGUUUUGGGUAUAAGGAAUUCUCUGUACUAUGUUUAUCUAAAAACAAUUCCAUGGUGAGCAAACUUAAGCAUAGAAAUGUUAAAUAAAUUGUCCAAAAUAGAGAAGUAAAUAGCAGUGCCAGGUUUCAAGCAUAAGAAUCAUCAACUCUGAACUUUAAACACAGCUCUGUAUGGUACUUUUGUUUAUAUCAAUGCCUAGAUAGAUAAAUAGGUAGAUAGAUAAUUUCCAAGUGCUAGAAACAAAAAAGGAACUAAAACUGAUAAAGAAUAUAAAUGAGGCCAGGCAGGGUGGCUCACACCUGUAAUCCCAGCAUUUUGGGAGGCCGAGGCAGGCAGAUCACUGAAGGUUCGGAGUUCAAGACCAGCCUGGCCAACUGGGGAAACCCUGUCUCUACUAAAAAAAAAAAAAAAUAGCCAGGCAUGGUGGCAUGUGCCUGUGAAGCAAGAGAUGUGAGAGGAAAAACAAAUUUUUCCUCUUUCUUUUGGUAUGGGCAGCUUCCCCCUUGAAUCCCUCCUCACUCCUUGUGAUUUUACCCUGCUCUGUAAGUUUUAUGAGUUUAUAGAUUCCUGUUUUCUGUAACUAGUGUCUGUAAGUCUCUGUAGCACCGUGGAGGUAAUGAGACAUGCUUGAGCAAGCUUAGAUUGCAGCCAUCUGGGCGCCAUAGCGAAGGACACGAGAUAAGGCUGUGCAGGCAUCUUGAGCAAACCUAGAUAACAGCCACCUGGCCUGCACAGCAAGAAUCAUGUGUAAGCUUGAGUUAGGAACCUGUCACAGUUUGAUUAACUGCCUUUGUUCUGCUUCUGUAAGCUUGCUUUCCACACCCCACAAGCUUUGCGCCACUGGCAAGCCACCCUCCUUCAGUUGCAUGAAUAAAAGUCAAGCCCUGUCUUCUUUUGUUGCUCAGCCUCUGGAUAUUAAUCCACUAAGCCAGUGGCAACCUAAAUAAAAUCCUCCUGUUCCACCCAUCUGGUCUCUCCAGUCUCCUCAUUCCUGCAACACCUGCAAUCCCAGCUACAUGGGAGGCUGAGGCAGGAGAAUCACUUGAACCUGGGAGGCAGAGGGCACAGUGAGCCAAGAUGGUGCCACUGCACUCCAUCCUGGGUGACAGAGAGAGACUCAGUCUCAAAAAAAAAAAAAAAAAGAAUAUAAGUGAAUGUUGACCUCAUGGGGACUCACUGGUGUUUCAGACAUCAAGACUAUAGGCUAGAGUUCAAGACCCAGUGAGGAGAUGUGAUAUGAUUUUGUGUGAGGCAAGCAUCAAAAGCAGACACCUGUGUGUAAAGCCCAGAGAUCUGAAGAGCUAACCUGUCUGUGAAAAGGGAAUUAGAUAAAACACAGGCUACCAGUUCACAGAUGCUAGAGAGAGCUUGCUGUCAGCCUAGGGGGAAUUCUCACCAACUGAAAAAUUCCUAUCAGUGUUCAAUGACAUACGACAUUCAUAGAGAUUCUGAAUUGCCCAAGGAGUUUCCAAAUUGUAAUUCUAAUCCAUGAGUUUUGGGCAAUUUAGUGGCUUUGUGAUAAGAAAGGGGAAAUGCAAAACUUCUCUUGUAAGACUCGUGGUGUGAGCUGGUCCUGAAGUUCUUGAUCAUUUUGUUAGCACCCAAACUGGUUUGUCAACAAACUUUGAGAGUCAAAAGCUUGAGAGACAUGCACAUCAAAGACCAUGACAAAAAGGGAAGAAAAGCAACAACAGCACAGAAG